rnacentral:rRNA from 1 species
AUGCUUUAUGUUGAACUUAAUCUUGUUCAUAUAUGUGUAUGUAGCAGGUGGGAUGAUGAUGUUGUAUUCAAGAACCAAGCUCGUGGAGAGGCCAAGACACCGAAACGGUUCAUCAACGACACCAUCAGAAGCGGUUUCCACGACAAGUUUCUGCAUAGGUACAUGAAAUGA